rnacentral:rRNA from 1 species
ACACAUGCAGUCGAGCGGCAGCGGGAAAGUAGCUUGCUACUUUUGCCGGCGAGCGGCGGACGGGUGAGUAAUGCCUGGGGAUCUGCCCAGUCGAGGGGGAUAACUACUGGAAACGGUAGCUAAUACCGCAUACGCCCUACGGGGGAAAGCAGGGGACCUUCGGGCCUUGCGCGAUUGGAUGAACCCAGGUGGGAUUAGCUAGUUGGUGAGGUAAUGGCUCACCAAGGCGACGAUCCCUAGCUGGUCUGAGAGGAUGAUCAGCCACACUGGAACUGAGACACGGUCCAGACUCCUACGGGAGGCAGCAGUGGGGAAUAUUGCACAAUGGGGGAAACCCUGAUGCAGCCGUGCCGCGUGUGUGAAGAAGGCCUUCGGGUUGUAAAGCACUUUCAGCGAGGAGGAAAGGUUGGUAGCUAAUAACUGCCAGCUGUGACGUUACUCGCAGAAGAAGCACCGGCUAACUCCGU